rnacentral:rRNA from 1 species
GACGAACGCUGGCGGCGUGCCUAACACAUGCAAGUCGAGCGGAGAUUUUUUGAUUGGAUGGUAAGCUUGCUUACUUGAUAUGAUUUUGAAUCUUAGCGGCGGACGGGUGAGUAACACGUGGGCAAUCUGCCUCUUACAGGGGGACAACACAGGGAAACUUGUGCUAAUACCGCAUAAACACUGCACUGUGGCAUCACAGAGUAGUCAAAGGAGCAAUCCGGUAAGAGAGGAGCCCGCGUCUGAUUAGCUAGUUGGUGGGGUAACGGCCUACCAAGGCGACGAUCAGUAGCCGAACUGAGAGGUUGAUCGGCCACAUUGGGACUGAGACACGGCCCAG